GAUGAACGCUGGCGGCGUGCCUAAUACAUGCAAGUCGAGCGAACGGACGAGAAGCUUGCUUCUCUGAUGUUAGCGGCGGACGGGUGAGUAACACGUGGAUAACCUACCUAUAAGACUGGGAUAACUUCGGGAAACCGGAGCUAAUACCGGAUAAUAUUUUGAACCGCAUGGUUCAAAAGUGAAAGACGGUCUUGCUGUCACUUAUAGAUGGAUCCGCGCUGCAUUAGCUAGUUGGUAAGGUAACGGCUUACCAAGGCAACGAUGCAUAGCCGACCUGAGAGGGUGAUCGGCCACACUGGAACUGAGACACGGUCCAGACUCCUACGGGAGGCAGCAGUAGGGAAUCUUCCGCAAUGGGCGAAAGCCUGACGGAGCAACGCCGCGUGAGUGACGAAGGUCUUCGGAUCGUAAAACUCUGUUAUUAGGGAAGAACAUAUGUGUAAGUAACUGUGCACAUCUUGACGGUACCUAAUCAGAAAGCCACGGCUAACUACGUG
rnacentral:rRNA from 1 species